rnacentral:rRNA from 1 species
CCUACGGGGGGCAGCAGUGAGGAAUAUUGGUCAAUGGACGAGAGUCUGAACCAGCCAUGUAGCGUGCAGGACGACUGCCCUAUGGGUUGUAAACUUCUUUUAUAUGGGAAUAAAAUGUUCCACGUGUGGGAUUUUGUAUGUACCCUAUGAAUAAGGAUCGGCUAACUCCGUGCCAGCAGCCGCGGUAAUACGGAGGAUCCGAGCGUUAUCCGGAUUUAUUGGGUUUAAAGGGAGCGUAGGUGGAUUGUUAAGUCAGUUGUGAAAGUUUGCGGCUCAACCGUGGAAUUGCAGUUGAAACUGGCAGUCUUGAGUACAGUAGAGGUAGGCGGAAUGUGUGGUGUAGCGGUGAAAUGCUUAGAUAUCACGAAGAACUCCGAUUGCGAAGGCAGUUCACUGGACCGCAACUGACACUGAGGCUCGAAAGUGUGGGUAUCAAACAGGAUUAGAUACCCCAGUAGUC